GCCAAAUUCAUAUUGGCGCUCUGUGAAGGUUGGCUGGGAUGAGUCAACUUCUGGAGAGAGGCAGCCAAGAGUCUCUUUGGGAGAUUGAGCCUUUAACAACGUUUCCAAUGUAUCCAUCUUCCUUUCCACUUAGGCUCAAGCGCCCUUGGCCUUCUGACUUGCCCUCACUACAUGGUGGGAGAGAUGAUCUUAUGUGGCUUCGAGAUGGAGACAGAGCAAUCA